GGCGGACGGGUGAGUAAUAUAUAGGUAAUGUGCCCUAGAGAGGGGGAUAACAGUUGGAAACGACUGCUAACACCCCAUAUGCCUUUAAGACAAAAGUCUGCAAGGGAAAUAUUUAUAGCUCUAGGAUCGGCCUGUACGGUAUCAGCUAGUUGGUGAGGUAAUGGCUCACCAAGGCAAUGACGCCUAACUGGUUUGAGAGGAUGAUCAGUCACACUGGAACUGAGACACGGUCCAGACUCCUACGGGAGGCAGCAGUGGGGAAUAUUGCACAAUGGGGGAAACCCUGAUGCAGCAACGCCGCGUGGAGGAUGACACAUUUCGGUGCGUAAACUCCUUUUAUAUAGGAAGAUAAUGACGGUACUAUAUGAAUAAGCGCCGGCUAACUCCGUGCCAGCAGCCGCGGUAAUACGGAGGGCGCAAGCGUUACUCGGAAUCACUGGGCGUAAAGAGCGUGUAGGCGGGUUAAUAAGUUUGAAGUGAAAUCCUAUGGCUCAACCAUAGAACUGCUUUGAAAACUGUUAACCUAGAAUAUGGGAGAGGUAGAUGGAAUUUCUGGUGUAGGGGUAAAAUCCGUAGAGAUCAGAAGGAAUACCGAUUGCGAAGGCGAUCUACUGGAACAUUAUUGACGCUGAGACGCGAAAGCGUGGGGAGCAAACAGGAUUAGAUACCCUGGUAGUCCACGCCCUAAACGAUGUACACUAGUUGUUGUGAGGCUAGACCUUGCAGUAAUGCAGUAAACACAUUAAGU
rnacentral:rRNA from 1 species